CUCCAAUAGCGUAUAUUAAAGUUGUUGCAGUUAAAAAGCUCGUAGUUGAAUUUCGGGAUCAUCAGGUUGGUCGUGCCACUGGUAUGUACUUGCCUUGGUGGUCCCUCCCUCUUGAAGAACCGUAAUGCCAUUAAUUUGGUGUUGCGGGGAAUCAGGACUGUUACUUUGAAAAAAUUAGAGUGUUUAAAGCAGGCAAACGCUUGAAUACAUUAGCAUGGAAUAAUGAAAUAGGACGUUUGAUCUUAUUUUGUUGGUUUCUAGGAUCGACGUAAUGAUUAAUAGGGAUAGUUGGGGGCAUUAGUAUUCAAUUGUCAGAGGUGAAAUUCUUGGAUUUAUUGAAGACUAACUACUGCGAAAGCAUUUGCCAAGGA
rnacentral:rRNA from 1 species